UGAUGUAUUUUUCACUAUGUUUAUCGACAUUUGCAGCAAACAGUGAGAAAUUUUAUACGCAGUUGAAUUUAAAUCGCUCAUUCCUUUCUUUUUAUUUUCCCUAUUUCCAACCCCCUUUCAGAACCCUCCUCCUUUGAAACCCUAAAUUCUACGAGACAACAUCCAUCAUUCUCUGUUCAUCUUGCUCGAAAGGGGCCAUGCUAUUUAUGUCAUAUUUUACAGAAUCAUAGGUGAUGGCAACCUCCACUUCCGUUCUCUUCUCUCGCCUCUGUGAACAAAUUCAAAUCGAACUGAAAUCGAAUAUGCAGUCAAUUGCUUCUUCUCCAUCAAGACAUUCGAAGUUCGUAGUCUUGUGACCUUGCCAGAAGGAGAAGCCAGAGUUCAAGUCAAUGUAAUCGGUGCAAGGUUUUUUAUUGAGACUUCGAGGAAUCUUCAAUUAAUUUUUCUUCUUUUAAUUUGAAAUUAUGGGUUGUUCAUAUUAAAAGAUGGGUUUGUGAUUCAUUCACUUUGGAUAUGAAUGAAUUUUGGAUAGUUGAUGUAUCCUAUUUCAUAUAUGUGUGCCGCAAUCCGAUAGAUGAGAUAUUGCCGCAUGUCAGUGUAUUACCUUUCUAUAAUUGAAUUAGAGAACCUAAUUAUGCUGUGCAUUUUAAUUGAUACGAAAUUUACCUUUUCAACUGUAUAGUAGUAUAUUGCCUUCCAACUGUUUGAGAGAAUGCUUUAAAGUUCUAGAUAAGUUAUCAAAUGGAUUUUGAUAAAGAAUCCAUUAGAUGUUCAUGUGUAUAUGUAAUCUUUGUUUAUUAUCCAUGUUUAUUUAGAGGUCAACUCGCUGAUUGAACUAUGUGGAGUCCACUUGAGGCUAUGUAGCUGCCAAGUUCCACUUAAUCUUCCGGAUUGUUAUUGGAGACAACACUUCUGAAGGAUGUGAGCUACUAUAGUGUGGGUGAAUCCUUGGCGUGGUGAUAUACUGAUACCAAAGCUUCUUCAUCAAAGAAUACGGACACUAAAGCUUCAAAUUGUAUAGGCUAUUUUGGAGAUGUUAACAAAGAGAAAAGUUACAAUUAUCUAUAUACUAUACUGGACUAUUGUUUUUAAAUUCAUUUAAAUUAUCUGUGGUGUAUGUCACUUGAAACUUUUGACAUGAAUGUGAAUGUUUGUGGUAUUUCGAAGAGCAAAUAAAUACAUUUGUUGUUUUCUUCU